CAUGUGCGUAAAGUAAAGCUUUACAUUGGUAAUAAAUAUUUAAAUUCUGAUGGAAAAUGUGUAAUUCCGCCUGUAUAUUUAGAACGUCCAGUACAGAAAUUAGUUUUACUUCUUGGACUUGAAGACCAGGGAAAUCCCCGCCAAGGAGCCAACUGAACUGUCUUAUUAAAAUUAGAACUCUCUUUAUUAAGUUCGUUGAAAUAUUGAAUAUGUAAUAGUUAGGUUGUUAUGUUUUUUGUUGAAAAUCAGCAUACUAAUUUUGAGGAGCCAUGUAACAAUUGUCGUCUUGCCGUAGUGUUGCGAUUGAAUGAAUGCAUAGUCAAGUAUAGACCGUAUGACUUACUAGAGGGGAAGCUAUUGGGAGCAUCAAUUGUUUACAUUCUAUGGUUUCCUAAUUAUAUUUUAUAUCCGAAGUAUAGAUAUGUUUAUUAGUAGAUUCUAUAUAUUAGAGUAAAUAUUAAAUACGUACAUUAUUAUUCAGUUAAUCAAAUUAUGAUUAUAAAUAUUUGGUUCGAAUUUGUAUGUGUAAUUUAUUAGUUACUCCUAUAAAUCGUGGUCUUUCGUCUGGGAUCAAGCAUGGCAGCCAAAUUUGUGCGUUGCGGAAAGGGGUGAAGUCAAAAAGUUUUCACAUAUGUGUAUGUGUGUGUAUAUUCAACUUGAUAUUCAUCAUAUAAUCAACUUAGAAUUGUCUGUCAACUAAAUGAUGAUAUAAAGAGAAUUCAUUGAACCCUAAAACUUGCACAACACCUUUGGUAAAACGUCUGAAGCCACAAGCUAUCCCAACUAUUUUUUCAUGGUCAAAACCAAUGGAUAAACAUCAAAUCAACCGUCUGAAUAGAGCAAAGUUAUGAGAACAACGAAAAAGCAGUACAGAUUCCCCAUUGACAAUUAAUCGCGAAGAAAACCUUUUCUUAGAUAUUGGUUGUCGGGUAGUCGAGUGGUGACUGACAUUUUAAGAAGUUAUAAGGCCUCAAACAAGAAAGUCAUGUCAAUGGCGAAGCAAACACCAAGCGCCCUCCGUUUAUUAUCUUUAUGAAUGUACAGCCCAUAGUAUAGUAUAAGGGAGGAAACUCUUGUUAAAGUCCUAGUUUAUUACAUUUCUCACUUACA